UAUUUAUUACUUACUGCAAACGUUUAAAUUAUUGUAAUUUCGUUGUAGUUUUCAAGUGUAAUAAACUCAUAAUACAUUUUAAUACAAUUAUAUUAUUUAAAAUUAGUUUUAAUCGUGUCCCCUUGGUAUCUGUUAACUGGACAUGUCCUGCACCGUUACCGUAAAUGCUCAAUAAUUUCGUUCGGUUUUUUUUCUACCUUCCACAAUUUUUUUAUACAAAUAGCAACACCAAAUCGAACACGAGCUAUGUCAGCAACCAUUUGAAGUGUCAGCCGUUUUAGCGUUCAUUUUUGACAGUGUUGUGAGCGGUAACGGUCAUUUUGCAAAGUUUUCACCUCAUACUGAGCGGUACUUAUAAAAAUGGCACAUACCGCUGCCGAAAAAAUUAAGCGGUAUAGGGAACGAAUAAAAAGUGAUCCCCAAAAAUAUGAAGAGUAUCGUAAGAAAAAUAUAGACCGACUUAAACAAAAGCGCAAGAAGAUUUUUAUUUUUUUUGAAGUUAAAUGAAACAGCAUUUUUGGUGCUAUAAUUGUGAUUUUAGACGCCUAGACACAAUAGAUUUUCUAUUGUGUCUGUGAUUCCGGGGGCUGAGGGAUUAAGAACAACUUUUUAUACUAAGUGAAAAUUUUAAAACCUAAGCUCGUUUUAAAAACAAUUAUAGACUGAAUUGUUGAUUUUUGAUCUCAUGUAAACAUGUGCCUUAAAUAAUACCUAAUGUAAUGAAAGUCAAAUAAAAAUGAUGAAAAGUAAGGUAA